AAAAUGUAUGAGUGUAAGUCGCUUUGGAUAAAAGUGUCUGCUAAAUGGCAUAUG
rfam:Salmo salar isolate Sally breed double haploid chromosome ssa09, whole genome shotgun sequence.